rnacentral:rRNA from 1 species
GACGAAGGGGGCUAGCGUUGUUCGGAAUUACUGGGCGUAAAGCGAGUGUAGGUGGUUUUCCAAGUUGAAUGUGAAAGCCUUGGGCUUAACCCAAGAAAUGCAUUCAGGACUGGAAGACUAGAGGACCGGAGAGGAUAGUGGAAUUCCCAGUGUAGUGGUGAAAUACGUAGAGAUCGGGAGGAACACCAGUGGCGAAGGCGGCUCACUGGGCCGAGCCUGACGCUGAGACGCGAAGGCGUGGGGAGCGAACGGGAGUUAGAUA